rnacentral:rRNA from 1 species
AGUUUCCCGCUGCAUUCUGAUCCUCGAUUACUAGCGAUUCCAGCUUCAUGCCCUCGAGUUGCAGAGGACAAUCCGAACUGAGAUGGUUUUUAAGGAUUGGCUUUGCCUUGCAGCAUUGCGACCCAUUGUUACCACCAUUGUAGUACGUUUGUAGCCCGACCCGUAAGAACCAUGAUGACUUGACGUCAUCCACGCCUUCCUCCCGCUUGACGCGGGCAGUCCCCUAAGAGUUCCCGGCAUUACCCGCUGGCAACAUAGGGCGUGGGUUGCGCUCGUUGCAGGACUUAACCUAACAUCUCACGACACGAGCUGACGACAGCCAUGCAGCAUCUGUCUUUGGUCCAACCGAAUUGAAGAAAUCCAUCUCUGGAAAUCGCGACCAAGAUGUCAAGGGUCGGUAAGGUUUCUCGCGUAGCAUCGAAUUAAACAACAUACUCCACCGCUUGUGCGGGUCCCCGUCAAUUCCUUUAAGUUUUAAUCUUGCGAUCGUACUCCCCAGGCGGCAUGCUUAACGCGUUAGCUACGUCACUGAUACCCCGAAGGGAACCAACAACAAGCAUGCAUCGUUUAGGGCGUGGACUACCAGAGUAUCUAAUUCUGUUUGCUACCCACGCUUUCGUCCCUCAGUGUCAGCAAUGAUCCAGAAGACUGCCUUCGCCAUUGGUGUUCCAUCUGAUAUCUACGGAUUUCA